UCGAACGAGAAAUGAUAUUACGAUCUGUUCGGAGUGACGGUUUUAUUUCGAGUGGCGGACGGGUGAGUAACGCGUGAGCAACCUGCCCUAUACCGGGGGAUACCAGUUGGAAACGACUGUUAAUACCGCAUAAGCGCACGAUAAGACAUCUUGUUGUGUGAAAAACUCCGGUGGUAUAGGAUGGGCUCGCGUAUGAUUAGCCAGUUGGCGGGGUAAAGGCCCACCAAAGCGACGAUCAUUAGCCGACCUGAGAGGGUGACCGGCCACAUUGGGACUGAGACACGGCCCAAACUCCUACGGGAGGCAGCAGUGGGGAAUAUUGCACAAUGGGCGAAAGCCUGAUGCAGCGACGCCGCGUGAGUGAGGAAGUAUUUCGGUAUGUAAAGCUCUAUCAGCAGGGAAGAAAGAAAUGACGGUACCUGAGUAAGAAGCUCCGGCUAAAUACGUGCCAGCAGCCGCGGUAAUACGUAUGGAGCAAGCGUUAUCCGGAUUUACUGGGUGUAAAGGGAGCGUAGGCGGCAGAGCAAGUCUGAUGUGAAAGCCCGGGGCUCAACCCCGGUAGUGCAUUGGAAACUGUUCAGCUCGAGUGUCGGAGGGGUAAGCGGAAUUCCUGGUGUAGCGGUGAAAUGCGUAGAUAUCAGGAAGAACACCGGAGGCGAAGGCGGCUUACUGGACGAUUACUGACGCUGAGGCUCGAAAGCGUGGGGAGCGAACAGGAUU
rnacentral:rRNA from 1 species